rnacentral:rRNA from 1 species
CUCCUACGGGGGGCAGCAGUGAGGAAUAUUGGUCGAUGGGCGGAAGCCUGAACCAGCCAAGUCGCGUGAGGGAAUAAGGCCCUACGGGUCGUAAACCUCUUUUGCCGGGGAGCAAGCGCGGGGACGUGUCCCGGCCCGGAGAGUACCCGGAGAAAAAGCAUCGGCUAACUCCGUGCCAGCAGCCGCGGCAAUACGGAGGAUGCGAGCGUUAUCCGGAUUUAUUGGGUUUAAAGGGUGCGUAGGCGGGCUUUUAAUUUAGCGGUAAAAAUUCUGGGCCCAACCCCGUCCGGUCGUUGAA